GCGCGCGUAGCUCAGCUGGAUAGAGCGUCUGACUACGGAUCAGAAGGUCAGGGGUUCGAAUCCUCUCGCGCGCACCA
rnacentral:tRNA from 1 species